UGGCGGCGUGCCUAAUACAUGCAAGUCGAACGGUCUUUCUAUGGAAGCUUGCUUCCACUGAGAAGAUAGUGGCGAACGGGUGAGUAACACGUGGGUAACCUGCCCAUAAGAGGGGGAUAACAUCCGGAAACGGGUGCUAAUACCGCAUAGUUUUCUUGAUCGCAUGAUCGGGAAAGGAAAGACGGCCUUUGUGCUGUCGCUUAUGGAUGGACCCGCGGCGUAUUAGUUAGUUGGUGAGGUAACGGCUCACCAAGACGAUGAUACGUAGCCGACCUGAGAGGGUGAUCGGCCACAUUGGGACUGAGACACGGCCCAAACUCCUACGGGAGGCAGCAGUAGGGAAUCUUCCGCAAUGGACGAAAGUCUGACGGAGCAACGCCGCGUGAGUGAAGAAGGUUUUCGGGAAUCGUAAAACUCUGUUGUCAGAGAAGAACAAGUUGGAGAGUAACUGCUCCAGCCUUGACGGUAUCUGACCAGAAAGCCACGGCUAACUACGUGCCAGCAGCAGC
rnacentral:rRNA from 1 species